AUUGAACGCUGGCGGCAUGCCUUACACAUGCAAGUCGAACGGUAACGGGCCUUCGGGUGCCGACGAGUGGCGAACGGGUGAGUAAUACAUCGGAACGUGCCCGAUCGUGGGGGAUAACGAGGCGAAAGCUUUGCUAAUACCGCAUACGAUCUACGGAUGAAAGCAGGGGACCGCAAGGCCUUGCGCGGACGGAGCGGCCGAUGGCAGAUUAGGUAGUUGGUGGGAUAAAGCUUACCAAGCCGACGAUCUGUAGCUGGUCUGAGAGGAUGAUCAGCCACACUGGGACUGAGACACGGCCCAGACUCCUACGGGAGGCAGCAGUGGGGAAUUUUGGACAAUGGGCGCAAGCCUGAUCCAGCCAUGCCGCGUGCAGGAUGAAGGCCUUCGGGUUGUAAACUGCUUUUGUACGGAACGAAAAGCCUUCUUUUAAUACAGGAGGGUCAUGACGGUACCGUAAGAAUAAGCACCGGCUAACUACGUG
rnacentral:rRNA from 1 species